rnacentral:rRNA from 1 species
UACGGGGGGGGCAAGCGUUGUUCGGAAUUACUGGGCGUAAAGGGCUCGUAGGUGGCCAACUAAGUCAGACGUGAAAUCCCCAGGCUCAACUUGGGAACUGCGUCUGAUACUGGAUGGCUUGAAUUCGGGAGAGGGAUGCAGAAUUCCAGGUGUAGCGGUGAAAUGCGUAGAUAUCUGAAGGAACAUCAGUGGCGAAAGCGACUUCCUGGACCAAUACUGACGCUCAUGUGCGAAAGCGUGGGGAGCAAACAGG